GACAGAGGAUGCAAGCGUUAUCCGGAAUGAUUGGGCGUAAAGCGUCUGUAGGUGGCUUUUCAAGUCCGCCGUCAAAUCCCAGGGCUCAACCCUGGACAGGCGGUGGAAACUACCAAGCUGGAGUACGGUAGGGGCAGAGAGAAUUUCCGGUGGAGCGGUGAAAUGCAUUGAGAUCGGAAAGAACACCAACGACGAAAGCACUCUGCUAGGCCGACACUGACACUGAGAGACGAAAGCUAGGGGAGCAAAUGGG
rnacentral:rRNA from 1 species